rnacentral:rRNA from 1 species
AACGUAGGAGACAAACGUUAUCCGGAGUUACUGGGCGUAAAGGGCGUGUAGGUGGUUUCGUAAGUCUGGCGUGAAAUUUUUCGGCUUAACCGGGAAAGGUCGUCGGAUACUGCAGAACUAGAGGACGGUAGAGGCGUGUGGAAUUCCGGGUGUAGUGGUGAGAUGCGUAGAGAUCCGGAGGAACACCAGUGGCGAAGGCGACACGCUGGGCCGUACCUGACACUGAUGCGCGACAGCAUGGGGAGCAAACAGG